rnacentral:rRNA from 1 species
GUGAGACGCGGGGCCGCAGGAGCGGUAAUAGGAAUGGUGCAAGUGUUAGUCGGAAUUACUGGGCGUAAAGCGUGCGUAGGGGGUUUGGUAAGUCUGAGGUGAAAGGCCUGGGCUCAACCUGGGAAUGGCAUUGGAUACUGGCAGGCUAGAGUGCGGUAGAGGGUAGUGGAAUUCCCGGUGUAGCAGUGAAAUGCGUAGAGAUCGGGAGGAACAUCUGUGGCGAAGGCGACUACCUGGACCAGCACUGACACUGAGGCACGAAAGCGUGGGGAGCAAACAGGAUUAGAUACCCCAGUAGUC